CUGCUACUCUUAUUCUCUCCCUUGCUCGCUCGCUAUAGAUGUAAAACAACAGCGUUUUUCUUCAUAGCUUUGUUCGUUUCCCUUCCUUUCCUUUCUCCUCUCAAUUUAUAUCUCUUUUAUUGGCCAUUGUUUUGCCCUAUGCUUCCUAUUUUCCUUCAAUUCCUGCGAUUCAGUUUUCCUUCGUUUGAUUUGAGAAUGCACAGGUGCCGAGUGGUGGAUUCAACACUUUAGGAACUCUCUUUCCCUUCCAAGUCGGGUGCCAUUUAUCAGUUGUAAGAAUUAUGAAUUCCUUGGUUCUAUGCCAUGGAUGAUUGUGCUGUUCAGUUUGGAUUUGGAAUUCUUUGGAGGAUGCUGGAAGCCCUGUGCUUAUACUGUCAUCUAAUUUGGAAGUGGGUUAGUACUGAUGGUGCCAUUCAUGCUUCAUAAACAUCAGUUCCCUUGGUUGCUCCAUUAUUAGGCGUGAUUUAUGGUGGAGAGCUGGAUGCUUCUUCUCUAGUAUGAUUAUCAGAAAAAGACGAGAAGCAUCUUAAAUUGAAUCAUGUCUCCAAAAUUAUAUAUGGAGUUAUGGACGACAUACUGUUCUAUGCCAUGGAUGAUUGCGCUGAUCAGUUUGGAUUUGGAAUUCUUUUGAGGAUGCUGGCAGCCCAGUGCUUAUACUGUCAUCUAAUUCGGAAGUGGGUUAGUACAGAUUGUGCCAUUCAUGCUUCAUAAACAUCAGUUCCCUUGGUUGCUCCAUUAUUAGGCGUGAUAUAUGGUGGAGAGCUGGUGAGUAUUUUUCUAAUGUUGAUGGGAUGCUUCUUCUCUAAUAUGAUUAUCAGAAAAAGACGAGAAGCAUCUUAAAUUGAAUCAUGUCUCCAGAAUUAUAUAUGGAGUUAUGGACGACAUACUGUAAGUUUAUUUCUAUUAAGAUUUAUGCAGCUGUAUAUGUUACAUACUGUAGUAACAUGUUGAUUAUAGAUCAGAGGAGUUUGAAACAUAUAUUUCAUUUUGUACCUUGUAUAGGUAUUUUAUCAUCCUUAUUAUUUGCAGUUUAAGCUGACUUCUUAUCUUAAGCAAUGGGAUAUAGUAAUGUAAAAUUUUUCAGGCGAUUGAGCUUCACAUAUUAAUGCUUUGCAUUUCAUAUAUUGGAGGGUUGUUUUUGCAUACGUAAAGGUGCAGCCAAGUUUAUAUGUUCCCCAAAUAAAGACAGUUAGAAGAUGCUUUUAUGUACAUAUUUAUCAAGUGAUAUGGCCUUUGCAACUUUUAAAUCUGCUUCAGUUAGAUAUGUUAAACGCAUGCAGCUGCUAGCUUUAGAAAUUUGUAUAUUUGUAGUGCACAUAGAAGCUCAAUGGUCAAUGGAAUGGGUGCAAGUAUGAUGUGAUAAAGCCCUUUACGAUUUCUGCUUUCUUGCAUAAUUCAAUGCUAACUUUGUAAUGAAUUUAUUUAUGUAUUUAUUUAUUUUUGGUAUGUAAUUUAUUAAUAAAUUCUGAGAAAUGUUUAUCUUGAUAAA